AGUGAACGCUGGCGGUAGGCCUAACACAUGCAAGUCGAACGGCAGCACAGUAAGAGCUUGCUCUUACGGGUGGCGAGUGGCGGACGGUUGAGGAAUACAUCGGAAUCUACUUUUACGUGGGGGAUAACGUAGGGAAACUUACGCUAAUACCGCAUACGACCUACGGUUGAAAGCAGGAGAUCUUCGGACCUUGCGCGACUGAAUGAGCCGAUGUCGGAUUAGCUAGUUGGCGGGGUAAAGGCCCACCAAGGCGACGAUCCGUAGCUGGUCUGAGAGGAUGAUCAGCCACACUGGAACUGAAACACGGUCCAGACUCCUACGGGACGCAGCAGUGGGGAAUAUUGGACAAUGGGCGCAAGCCUAGUCCAGCCAUACCGCGUGGGUGAAGAAGGCCUUCGGGUUGUAAAGCCAUUUUGUUGGGAAAGAAAAGCAGCAGGUUAAUCCCCCGCUGUUCUGACGGUACCCAAAGAAUAAGCACCGGCUAACUUCGUG
rnacentral:rRNA from 1 species